GUCAAUCAUCAGGAGAGAUUACAAUAAAGUAAUCCACCAACCGACCCAAAAGGGCACGGUGGUUUGAUCCUUAAACGGUAGAUGUGCCUCAGAAGAGGAAUCUUAAAGCCGCCUGA
rnacentral:ncRNA from 10 species